rnacentral:rRNA from 1 species
CACUCUGGAGACAGAGCUUUCCCUUCGGGGACAAAGUGACAGGUGGUGCAUGGUUGUCGUCAGCUCGUGUCGUGAGAUGUUGGGUUAAGUCCCGCAACGAGCGCAACCCUUGAUUUUAGUUGCCAGCAUUUAGUUGGGCACUCUAAAGUGACUGCCGGUGCAAGCCGGAGGAAGGUGGGGAUGACGUCAAAUCAUCAUGCCCCUUAUGACCUGGGCUACACACGUGCUACAAUGGAUAGUACAAAGGGUCGCGAAGCCGCGAGGUGGAGCUAAUCCCAUAAAACUAUUCUCAGUUCGGAUUGUAGGCUGCAACUCGCCUACAUGAAGCCGGAAUCGCUAGUAAUCGUGGAUCAGCAUGCCACGGUGAAUACGUUCCCGGGCCUUGUACACACCGCCCGUCACACCACGAGAGUUUGUAACACCCGAAGUCGGUAGGGUAACCUUUAUGGAGCCAGCCGCCGAAGGUGGGACAGAUAAUUGGGGUGAAGUCGUAACAAGGUAGCCGUAUCGGAAGGUGCGGCUGGAUCACCUCCUUUCUAAGGAA